rnacentral:rRNA from 1 species
GGAAUAUUGGUCAAUGGGCGCAAGCCUGAACCAGCCAUGCCGCGUGCAGGAUGACGGUCCUAUGGAUUGUAAACUGCUUUUGUACGAGAAGAAACAACUCUACGUGUAGAGUCUUGACGGUAUCGUAAGAAUAAGGAUCGGCUAACUCCGUGCCAGCAGCCGCGGUAAUACGGAGGAUCCAAGCGUUAUCCGGAAUCAUUGGGUUUAAAGGGUCCGUAGGCGGUUUAGUAAGUCAGUGGUGAAAGCCCAUCGCUCAACGGUGGAACGGCCAUUGAUACUGCUAAACUUGAAUUAUUAGGAAGUAACUAGAAUAUGUAGUGUAGCGGUGAAAUGCUUAGAGAUUACAUGGAAUACCAAUUGCGAAGGCAGGUUACUACUAAUGGAUUGACGCUGAUGGACGAAAGCGUGGGUAGCGAACAGGAUUAGAUACCCCAG